ensembl:lncRNA
UGUGUCUCAUCCACAGGUGCUGAACUGACGCCUCACAUCUAAACUUCUUCAACAUGAUCUUCAUGGUUUUUAUGUUGUGUUUUCUUCAUCUGCCACAAACUCAAGGUGCCUCUGACUCCAAACGUGUGGACCAAACACCGCGGUUCAUGAUGAAGAGAACUGGUGAAUCUGUUGACAGUGAGAUCAGCUGUUCACACAGUAUAACAGAUUAUACUGUUAUUCUCUGGUAUAAACAAGACAAACACAAAGGUCUGAAGCUGCUUGGAUAUCUACACUUGUUCAACCCGUAUCCAGAAAAAGACGUGUAAAGAAAAAUCAACUUUAACGGAGAUGGUCGUAAACAGUAGGGCCUCAACAUUUCUCGUCUGACAUUGGAGGACAGUGGUGUGUAUUUCUG